rnacentral:rRNA from 1 species
GAUGAACGCUGGCGGCGUGCCUAAUACAUGCAAGUCGAGCGAACAGACGAGGAGCUUGCUCCUCUGACGUUAGCGGCGGACGGGUGAGUAACACGUGGAUAACCUACCUAUAAGACUGGGAUAACUUCGGGAAACCGGAGCUAAUACCGGAUAAUAUAUUGAACCGCAUGGUUCAAUAGUGAAAGACGGUUUUGCUGUCACUUAUAGAUGGAUCCGUGCCGCAUUAGCUAGUUGGUAAGGUAACGGCUUACCAAGGCAACGAUGCGUAGCCGACCUGAGAGGGUGAUCGGCCACACUGGAACUGAGACACGGUCCAGACUCCUACGGGAGGCAGCAGUAGGGAAUCUUCCGCAAUGGGCGAAAGCUUGACGGAGCAACGCCGCGUGAGUGAUGAAGGUCUUCGGAUCGUAAAACUCUGUUAUUAGGGAAGAACAAAUGUGUAAGUAACUAUGCACGUCUUGACGGUACCUAAUCAGAAAGCCACGGCUAACUAUGUG